rnacentral:misc_RNA from 1 species
GAUGAAGAACGCAGCGAAAUGCGAUACGUAAGGUGAAUUGCAGAAUUCAGUGAAUCAUCGAGUCUUUGAACGCACAUUGCGCCCCCUGGUAUUCCGGGGGGCAUGCCUGUCCGAGCGUCAUUGCUGCCCUCAAGCACGGCUUGUGUGUUGGGCCUCCGUCCUCCUCCCGGGGGACGGGCCCGAAAGGCAGCGGCGGCACCGCGUCCGGUCCUCGAGCGUAUGGGGCUUCGUCACCCGCUCUUGUAGGCCCGGCCGGCGCUUGCCGACACAUCAAUCUUUUUUCCAGGUUGACCUCGGAUCAGGUAGGGAUACCCGCUGAACUUAAGCAUAUCAAUAAGCGGAGGA